UACGUAGGGAGCAAGCGUUGUUCGGAUUUACUGGGCGUAAAGGGCGCGUAGGCGGCGUGUCAAGUCGAUUGUGAAAUCUCCGGGCUUAACUCGGAACGGCCAAUCGAUACUGACGUGCUAGAGUGCAGAAAGGGCAAUCGGAAUUCUUGGUGUAGCGGUGAAAUGCGUAGAUAUGCGGAGGAACACCGAUGGCGAAGGCAAUCCCCUGGGCCUGCACUGACGCUCAUGCACGAAAGCGUGGGGAGCAAACAGG
rnacentral:rRNA from 1 species